UACGUAGGGGGCAAGCGUUGUCCGGAAUCAUUGGGCGUAAAGCGCGUGUAGGCGGCUCGAUAGGUCUGCUGUGAAAGUCCAGGGCUCAACCCUGGGAUGCCGGUGGAUACUGUCGAGCUCGAGUCCGGAAGAGGCGAGUGGAAUUCCUGGUGUAGCGGUGAAAUGCGCAGAUAUCAGGAGGAACACCAAUGGCGAAGGCAGCUCGCUGGGACGUGACUGACGCUGAGACGCGAAAGCGUGGGGAGCAAACAGG
rnacentral:rRNA from 1 species